rnacentral:rRNA from 1 species
UACAGAGGGUGCAAACGUUGCUCGGAAUUACUGGGCGUAAAGCGCGUGUAGGCUGACAUGCAAGUCGGGUGUGAAAUCCCAGGGCUCAACCUUGGAACUGCAUUCGAAACUGCACGUCUUGAGUACUGGAGAGGGAGGCGGAAUUCCGGGUGUAGAGGUGAAAUUCGUAGAUAUCCGGAGGAACACCAGUGGCGAAGGCGGCUUCCUGGACAGUAACUGACGCUGAGACGCGAAAGCGUGGGGAGCAAACAGG